UACGGAGAAUGCGAGCGUUAUCCGGAUUUAUUGGGUUUAAAGGGUGCGUAGGCGGGCUUUUAAGUCAGCGGUAAAAAUUCGGGGCUCAACCCCGUCCGGCCGUUGAAACUGGGGGCCUUGAGUGGGCGAGAAGAAGGCGGAAUGCGUGGUGUAGCGGUGAAAUGCAUAGAUAUCAUGCAGAACCCCGAUUGCGAAGGCAGCCUUCCGGCGCCCUACUGACGCUGAGGCACGAAAGUGCGGGGAUCGAACAGG
rnacentral:rRNA from 1 species